rnacentral:rRNA from 1 species
GAUGAACGCUGGCGGCGUGCCUAAUACAUGCAAGUCGAGCGAACAGACGAGGAGCUUGCUCCUCUGACGUUAGCGGCGGACGGGUGAGUAACACGUGGAUAACCUACCUAUAAGACUGGGAUAACUUCGGGAAACCGGAGCUAAUACCGGAUAAUAUAUUGAACCGCAUGGUUCAAUAGUGAAAGACGGUUUUGCUGUCACUUAUAGAUGGAUCCGCGCCGCAUUAGCUAGUUGGUAAGGUAAUGGCUUACCAAGGCGACGAUGCGUAGCCGACCUGAGAGGGUGAUCGGCCACACUGGAACUAGGACACGGUCCAGACUCCUACGGGAGGCAGCAGUAGGGAAUCUUCCGCAAUGGGCGAAAGCCUGACGGAGCAACGCCGCGUGAGUAAUGAAGGUCUUCGGAUCGUAAAACUCUGUUAUUAGGGAAGAACAAAUGUGUAAGUAACUAUGCACGUCUUGACGGUACCUAAUCAGAAGGCCACGGCUAACUACGU